AUUGAACGCUGGCGGCAGGCCUAACACAUGCAAGUCGAACGAGUGGCGGACGGGUGAGUAAUGUCUGGGAAACUGCCUGAUGGAGGGGGAUAACUACUGGAAACGGUAGCUAAUACCGCAUACCAUCGGAUGUGCCCCGAUGGGAUUAGCUAGUAGGUGGGGUAACGGCGCACCUAGGCGACGAUCCCUAGCUGGUCUGAGAGGAUGACCAGCCACACUGGAACUGAGAGACGGGCCAGACGCCUACGGGAGGCAGCAGUGGGGAAUGUUGCACAAUGGGCGCAAGCCUGAUGCAGCCAAGCCGCGGGUAUGAAGAAGGGCUUCGGGUUGUAAAGGAUUUUCAGCUGGGAGGCGUUACCCGCAGAAGAAGCACCGGCGAACUCCGUGCCAGCAGCCGCGGUAAUUC
rnacentral:rRNA from 1 species